UCCUUUUUUUUUUUUUUUUGCAGAAAGAUGAGAAGAUAAGGUAAAUAUAUGGAUCCUAGUUUUCCAGAGUUCUCAAAGUAUAAGAAGUCAGAAAAGAAAUAAAACAAGGAUCAAGAAGAUGAAACACUUGAGGAUAUAUUUUUUGUUUUAUUCUCUUUUGGCCUUUUGUCUUUUUGGGAGUGUUACUAUAUCUGUCUAUUCUUAUAUUUAGAAAAAUGUACAUAAAAUAUCAGUUUUUAUAAUAUUUAAAAUUUCAUAAUCAUUUUGAUCACCAUAUAACUUUUUUCAUUUAAGUUUCUUUCUACCUAAUAUCCUUUAACCAAAC
rnacentral:lncRNA from 1 species